rnacentral:lncRNA from 14 species
AUGGGAUUAGGCUUUCAAGGAGAGAAAGGAGAAAAGGGUGAUGUGGGGCUGCCUGGGCCUCCAGGUCCCCCACCAUCCACUGGAAUUCUGGAAUUCAUGGGAUUUCCAAAGGGGAAGCAAGGAGAAAAGGUCUGUAAAUUCAGUUUACAAACCCUCUCCUUCUCCAUGCUCUUUCAUUCAAGAAUGAACAAAAUUACUGAACAGUGAGAGCUGUUGUAUUUCCAAAUCAAAAUAAUUUUUUGUAUGGUUUAUUCUGCCAAAUGGUUAUUGAAUAGAAAUAUUCAUAGCUCAGAGCAUUGUGGACCACUAGAGAAUACACACCUCUCAGAGGAAGAAAUCUGGAAGCUAUUUAAAGGUUUUUGUCAUUAAUCCUAAAAAUAAGUGAACUGUAGCUUGUCUUUGUUGAACCUGUGAAAUUGUGUCAGCUGAAGCAAAAAAAAUCAAUUUAGAAAAAUAAAUGGAAGCUCCAGCUCUUUUGCCUUAGUGCACACUCCUCUGAAAUAAUCAGAUUUUUUCACCUUUGCAUUGUUAUUACUGGGAUGUGAAUUUAGGUCAUCAGUGUUUUUAUGAAAGCUGUGUGGUUUGAGUUAAAGAUUCUCUAGACACAUGAUAUUUAGGCAUACUGAGUUAAUCACUUGAAAUUUACUGAGUUUAUCUGGGACUUACAUAGGCUGGUUUGGGAGCCCAAUCUGAGCUUGCCUGAACCCCUGUGUAAAGUUAUGAGAGAUUGUUGUACUUGGUCAAUUGACAUUAGUGUGAGCUGAGGCUCAGACAAACCCCAUUCUUUUGGGCUCACUCUGGAGUUUGUAAGCAGAGCUGUGAAAACAUUGCUGUCCCAUCAUGAGCUGUUUUGCUGCUCUCACCAAGCACUGUGCAUGUUGCAGUUUCCCAGCUGAUGGUGUGACAUGGCCCUGGUUUGGCUUGUGGCAGUUGUGGUCAGCAGAGCAGCAGCUGCCAGGCAGUGGCCAGAGGAAGCACCAGCUCUGUGCUGGGUGCCUCUGAUGCAGCACUUGGUGUCACAAACCCUGGGCACUCCCUGGCAGAAAAAGGACAGAGCUUUGCUUUAGGUGUCAGGAGCACGGUGGGUGG